UACAGAGGGGGCAAGCGUUAUUCGGAAUUAUUGGGCGUAAGGGGCGCGUAGGCGGCUUUUCAAGUGACGGGUGAAAUCCCUCGGCUUAACCGAGGAACUGCCUGUCAGACUGGAAGGCUUGAGACCGGGAGAGGUGAGUGGAAUUCCCAGUGUAGCGGUGAAAUGCGUAGAUAUUGGGAGGAACACCAGUGGCGAAGGCGGCUCACUGGACCGGAACUGACGCUGAGGCGCGAAAGCGUGGGGAGCAAACAGG
rnacentral:rRNA from 1 species